CUACUGUCUCUCUUUUACUAAUUUUAAUUUACUUAAGGAGUGAAAAUGCUUCUUCAUUAAUUAAAAGACGAGAAGACCCUUAGAGUUAUAAAAACUUUAGUUACAUUAACUAAUUCUUUUUUGUUGGGGCAACAAAGGUACAAUUUAAAUUACCUAUUCUAUUAAAGACGAGACGAGACCUUUUAAGAUAGAAUUAAUUACCUUAGGGAUAACAGCAUAAUUUUAUAAUUAAGUUUAUGACCUCGAUGUUGGACUAG
rnacentral:rRNA from 1 species